CUACGGUGGCCCUGAGGUGCAAAACACAAUGACAAAUAAGAAAACAAAAUGACAUUAACCAUUGUGUUUUCUCUUUUUUGUGUUGCGUUUUCUGAUUUGCCGUUGUGUUUUGCACCUCAGGGCCACCGUAG